GACUAACCGUUCCUGUGGCCUACUGGUUAGAGCGUCGGCCUCGGAUGCGGUUGGUCGCGGAUUUAAACCCCGACUGAGUCA